GUUUACAGUCCUCCCCAUGCUGCCCUAUGCAAUCAGGAAAGCAGAACAUGCUCUGCAGGAAGGACACUUGCAUCCACCUCUGUCUCCAGCAUGCAAACCCCAUUACAAAGAAAUAUCUAUUCAAAAACCACACUGGGUCAGUCGCCAGUGAGGGUAGGAUUGUUUUCUGGUGAAAGUGUUUGUUUCAGCUGAUGUAGGUAAGUGUUUUAUAAACUCUAAUUGCUUUUUGUUUUGUGAUUUAGAUUUGUUUUGUAUUGUGACUAAUCUUUAGUUUGAUCCUAAUGAAUAACUUCCAUUCUGGGGAGAGAGAGAGAGAGAGAGAGAGAGAGAGAGAGAGAGAGAGAGAGAACACGAAUAUGAAGAUGAGAAUUAUUGCUCGUCCACCUAA
rnacentral:lncRNA from 1 species